rnacentral:lncRNA from 1 species
AUAUGAAAUACUUCUCACUUAACACGAUAACGAUCUUUGGAUCUGAGAAUUGAAUUAGUGGGCAAUUCUCACUGUUACUAUUAUUAUCCCAUAAAUAUCCCCACAGUAUGUCUGCCAAUGUCCUCUGGAGCCUUCUGCGCCUUUUAUGAAUGUAGCCCCGUCCUGCUGCGUGUCUGCGGGCUGGGUGCAUCGCGGUUCCAGGGCUGCUGGGCAGGAGACUCCUUACGGUGAGUAGAGGGGGGGGGUGCAGAGUGUCGGCUCCCUGGGUCUUUGUGAGGGCAGGCAACUUCGGGUUGGUUGCUGGUGGAGGGUGUCGUGGUGCCGUCGCUUGCUUAGCGUUUCACCUCCUUCAUCUCCGCCCGCCUCGGGGGCAAGUAUAUCAUGGAGUCGCUAUGCUGUUUGCUGCAGUUACUGGCAGGUCAGCAGGGGCAGUCUGGUUACUCCAGGCUCUGCCAGUCAGUUAUUCUGCAUAUGGUCUCUGCCAUCUGAAGUGUGGGCCCUGGUCUUGUGUAAUGGCCUGGUGUCGUUGCCUGAUUUCAGCUGCCACGCUGUGAGUGCGGCUAUGGGGCGCAUACCGGGAUCACCCCCCCCCCCAGUCUAAGGGGUGGAACAGGGUCGGGUCAGAGGAGAUUCAGAGUGCCGUUCAGGCUCCAUUAGGCAGGAUAGUGGGGUGGCGUAACUAGCUUAAUUCUUAAUGACCAGAUUGACCUAAAAUGGACGGCGAUUAAAUUGACGUACUUUCUAGCUUUAGCUCUGGCAGCUAGAGGCUCAGAAUUAACCCAGCUAAAUAUUGUCGAACCGUGGUUGUCUCGAACUCCAGGGGGAUUUCCAUAGGCGUGCGCAGCCUAUUGCAUUAGGGUGUGCACCCUAAAGCACAAACACACGCCGCGCGCGUGUGUGUGUGUGUGUGUAUGCGUGUGUGUGUGUGUGUGUGUAUGUAUGUAUAUAUAUGUGUAUAUAUAUAUAUAUAUAUAUAUAUAUAUAUAUAUAUAUAUAUAUAUAUACACACACACACACACACACACACACACACACACACACACACACACACACACACACACACACACUCACACACACACACACACACACACUGACACACACUCACAGACACACACUGACACAUACUCACACACUCACAGACACACACACAAAUUAUUAUAUUUUAAUUUUAAAAAAAAUGUCCACCCAGCCUCCUACCUGGAGUGCUGGUGGACUUUUCCCUGGGGUCCAGUGGGGGCGGGCGCCUCUCUGCAGGUCAGCCGCGGCGAGGGAGCUCUCUGCUGUCUGCUCCCUCUCGCCGCGCGGGCUGUCUGCUGGAGCUGGGAGCCGGAAUAUGACGUCAUAUUCCGGCUCCCGGCAUCAGCGCGCGGCGAGAGGAAGCAGAGAGCAGAGAGCUCCCUCGCCGCGGCUGAGCUGCAGGGUGGGGGGGAAUCAUCACCUCUUGCCCUCCCAUGACAGGGGCAAGAGGUGAAACAGGGGACACUGAGUGCCUGCAGGAACAGCGUUCCUGCUCAAAAAAAGUGCAGGAACGCUGUUCCUGCAGGACUCAAACCAUAGGCGUGCGCACGGGGAUUAGGGUGUGCCCAGGCACACCCGGUACACCCCGUGCGCACGCCUAUGGGGAUUUCAUGUCAUCCUUAAAGGGAGACAUAAGACUUCCAAUAUUUUCCAGGGUCCUGUAGAACUAGAAUUGGUGCAGGAUUCUGCUGAGCCGAGUUUAUGUUUAGUUAAUUUGUUAAAUUCCUACUUUAAUCUUUCUGCCCCAGUCAGACAAGACUUUACGCAAUUACUUCCAGAAAACCUUUUCGGCCAGCUAAGGUUAACACAAUCAGGGGUUGGAUACUGUCCGCUAUGUCUGCAGCGGGUAUUGAUGUCACAGUUUUUAAGGGUCAUUCUGUAAGAGGGGCUUCAGCUUCAAAAGCAGCAGCAAGAGGCCUUCCUCUUCAUAUUAUCCUUAAAGCUGCAAGAUGGUCUUCCAGUAAGACUUUCGUUAAGUUUUAAGGGAGGCCAUCUGAAGUUGAACGUUUACAGUUCCUUAAGACCACCACCAGGUGCGUGCUAUUCAACCCACUAGCUUUGCUAGGUGGUUAUGCCUCCCGGAGGGACAAACUAGAGUUUGCAGUAAUCGAUGACCUGCACACUUUCUUUGUCCUAGGGAUAAGCAUAACCACCUAGCAAAGCACCCAUCUCUCCCUCCCCAGGUUUAUUUGUAGUGCCUGAUGGUGGCAGGGCAUUUUUCUGGUUUGGGAAUCUUCUAAUUAAAGUAAUUUGUGUGUUUGUUUUCUUUUUCACUUAUAUUUAUUCUGUUUAUCUUUACAGAUUACAACCGGCUACCCAGACAGGAUCACCAAGCCAAGGACCCUCCUAAAUAGUUCUGGAGGUUAAGAAACUUCUUCCAGAAGCUCUUUGAUUAUGAGUUAUACUAUACUAAUAUUUCUCUCAGAGACUGUUUUGUUUUUCACCGUGAUGAUCAAAGAUUGUUUUGUUAUAUUUGUCACUAACUGUCAGUAGUUCAGAAAUGUUUCUUAUUUAUUGUUACUUUAUUAUAUUGCCUUUCCACUCUGUUGACAUAACCCUUUCAUAGGAGUAAGUUCAUGUUUGGAUGAGUAAAUAAAUCAUUGUUACCCCCCUUACAUUGUCAGUGGUGCUCUUCUCCUUUAUUAUGUUUAAUACCAUGUACAUUGAUCUCUAUCCUAGAUUAGGGGGUUCUUUGUCUCCAUCUUUUGUAACCAUCUGCAGUAUCUUGAUUUUAAAAUCUGAGGUGAUCAAGGCUGACGCGAGCUGCACGGCUGUCCUGAUCACCUGAUUGGCUAAAACGCUGUUGCUGUGCAGGAGCGAUCUUUAGCGUGGCAAAAUAAUUAUC